CGACGGCGGAGACCGACUCCGAUAAAGCUCCUUUAUCGGUGGGACUUCAAAGCCGCGGCUCCAACACCACGAUCACUACUGCGCAGACUCCGGCUCCAGACGACCUCCAAUGGUGGCACCUGUAUCUGAAGAUCCCGUUCCAGCAGUUCGGAGCCAAUUGUGCAGAAGAUUUAAUGGAUUGGGACGGUGUGUGUGUGUCGACGGCUUCGGCGCUGGAAUGAAUUUGGAAAGAGGCCUCUUCUUAUCUGACAGUGCGGCUGCAGGCCUUGGCAAGUCCACCAGGAUCCUAACUGGAAACCUUGGAUUCAAUAUCUCCUCAGCCUCGGGUUGAAACAAGUUCCUCAACCUCCCCCCGUCUGGAUGGUUGUAUGAAUUUUAGGAUACACUGACCUACUGUAAGCCCCGUCCCCCUGAGUUCUGCUGCUAAACUAUGUUGAGCUCUCCAUUCUUGCACGGCACACCACGGCGUGCAGUUAACGAAAAAAAACACCAGGGGCACGUUUUGCCUCUUGAAAUUCUUUAUCUUUCACACAGACGGAGGUGGAAAUAAACAGGCUCCUUAUUUCAAACCAGCGACCUUUAGCUGGCUGGAACGACAACAGUCGCUAGUUAAUGGAGCUACGUUAAUCCUUCGUGUUCGGGAAGAGUGGAAGGGAUGCGUUUGUCUUCUGUGUUCGAUGGAGCCGUGGAAAUGGGACAGCCAAGUUCUUCUGAUGCAGCCUCCGAAGGAUUGUGGCCCUCGCAUCGGGACACAGCUUCUGAUUUGAUUGUUUAAUUCAGAUUUAUUCUAUUAAAAUGAGGAUCCUAUUUUGGUAACAUAUGGAGAUAUCUUGCUAACAGGUUGUUCUUCCCUAGUUGCUCAUCAAUUAAAAACACAUAGAUAUCCAGACAGAUGUCAUAUUAUUGAUUUGUCCUUCAUGAUUUCGUGCAUUGCCUUUUGCUUACUUCUGUGAGUAAAGCCAACAUUGACAGUUACUAUGUUUAUAACUGAUUCCAUGUUCUUUUGCCCUUUUAUUCUUGGUUUUUGGAAAUGCUCAAAUACAUAAAUACCCUCCACUUCAUGCACAUGGUGCAUUACUUCACUCGCGUGUGCUUUAAUUUGACAUCUGGAGAAAGCUUAAGGGAAGACUGUGCCAAGUUACAGUUGCUAAGGUAUGGUGGGACCAUCUGCCCAGUCAGGAGUAAUGUUGAGCAACAAGCAUAGCGAACGUAUAUCAUCAUUAGACCAUAAUAAAAAUGCACAAAAAAAUAAAACUCCACUUAACAAUAAUAUAAAAAGGUCAAAAUCACCAUAGCAGGAAACUACAUAUUAUAAUAUUACACUCUGCCCCCUUCCUCAUUUUCAUAUUUUCAUUCAAUUGGGAUUUUAAUGGCUCAACCUUCUCUACUUGUAUGUUCCACAUGUUGUUAUAUUAUUUAUUAGUUUUAUUAUAAGCCCUGUUUGUCUAUUUUGUUGUUACUUCCUGAUGGUUCAAUGUUCCCUCUGUAUUAAAUGAAAACAUCUUUUUUGAGGAGGUGGGAUUCUGCUUUGGUCAACUUCUUUCACUUUUUGACCGCAGCCUAAGAUGUGGAUCACGGGACAUAUCGAUAUCGUUAUAUAAUAAAUAAAUAAACAUAAAAUAAAGGAAAGAGAAAAGUGAAUGUGAGAUGAGCUCAGUCUGACUUAAAUCUUUAUUCAUGAUCUAGUGAAAUAUUCAAUCGUGUGUGGAUUUUUCCAAAUAAAAGACAUCUGACGCUUUA